rnacentral:misc_RNA from 1 species
AACGCACAUUGCGCCCGCGAGUAUUCUCGCGGGCAUGCCUGUUCGAGCGUCAUUUCAACCAUCAAGCCCCCGGCUUGUGUUGGGGACCUGCGGCUGCCCGCAGGCCCCGAAAUUCAGUGGCGGUCGCGCCGUAGCAACCGAGCGUAGUAACUAAACUUCUCGCUCUGGCUCGCUGGGCGCGCUUCCGGCCGUAAAACACCCCCCCUUUACGCAAAGGUUGACCUCGGAUCAGGUAGGAAUACCCGCUGAACUUAA